AACGAACGCUGGCGGCAGGCCUAACACAUGCAAGUCGAGCGAGGACUUCGGUCCUAGCGGCGGACGGGUGAGUAACGCGUGGGAACGUGCCCUUUGCUUCGGAAUAGCCCUGGGAAACUGGGAGUAAUACCGGAUGAGCCCUUUGGGGGAAAGAUUUAUCGGCGAAGGAUCGGCCCGCGUUGGAUUAGGUAGUUGGUGGGGUAAUGGCCUACCAAGCCGACGAUCCAUAGCUGGUUUGAGAGGAUGAUCAGCCACACUGGGACUGGGACACGGCCCAGACUCCUACGGGAGGCAGCAGUGGGGAAUCGUAGACAAUGGGGGAAACCCUGAUCUAGCCAUGCCGCGUGAGCGAUGAAGGCCUUAGGGUUGUAAAGCUCUUUCAGCUGGGAAGAUAAUGACGGUACCAGCAGAAGAAGCCCCGGCUAACUCCGUG
rnacentral:rRNA from 1 species